UAUACUUGUUCUUCUGGGUCAUUAAUAUCUGUUGUGGAAUAACAAGAAAAAACUGACACUUCUAGGAAGCAAAUUAAAUCUGCCGGGUUCCGGUGAUGCCGGUGAUGGUUUCUCAGUGAUCACGUACUCCUCAUCAGGAUGGUGGCCGCGACGGCUUUGGUGGGCGGCCUGAGUUCUUUGAAAGAUCGCAAGAAACAUUCUUGUCUCUGGUUACCCAGGAAUACCUUCUUCUUCUUCACUCUCGUCCUGGUUUUUCUUUCCGGCUUCACUUUCUUCCACUUCUUCUCCUUGAAAAGAGAUGAGUACUUUCGUCCAAAGCUCAAGUCCACGUUGCAUAUUUUCCCGAUGGAAGCUGUUUCCGGCGAAUCAUCGCCGGCGACUCCGGCCAUCACAAUUCAAGAGACGGUAGCUCUUCCUGACCAGGUUCUGGUGUUCCUAAAGUACCCUCCGUCAACUCCGUUAUUUACCAAAGAUGACAUCAGAUGUAUAUACUUGUCCUCGCCCAACUCAACCAAUAAUCAUCAUCAUCAUGAUCAGCUUGAGCUCUUCCCAGAAUCAGUGGAGGACGAACACCUGGAUCGGCAGAUCGUACGGUGCCCACAUGUGCCACGUGGCUUGGUGGUUUCUGUUUCCUUCAAGGCCAAGGGCAACUUCCCAAUCGGGCCCAUAUAUCGGUGGGACUCAUUGGCCUAUGAGGCGAUGAUCGACCAUGACAACACCACGGUGGUUUUUGUCAAAGGUUUUAACCUACGGUCGGGACGGGUCUAUGACCCUUCCAAAUUCAAGUGCGUCUACGGUUGGGAUUUGUCGAGACCCAAGUCAACGUUGUUAUCCGACGCCGUUUCAGUAGCUCAGGAAAUUGUGCGUUGCAAGACGCCUAGGAGCAUCUUGAAUGGGUCACACAAGAAUUGGCAUGGGAAUGUUUCAAUCAAGGUUUCGGUUAGGCUAGUUGGUAGGAGGAAGAUGUUGAAUUCAAUUGCAAGGCCCGAAACCCGUUUGAAGCUCGGCCCAAAAGUCGAGAAACGGCACCAAAUGUGCAUUUGCACCAUGCUAAGAAAUCAAGCACGCUUUCUACGGGAAUGGGUGAUGUAUCACGCUCACAUUGGCGUGGAACAUUGGUUUAUUUACGAUAACAACAGUGUUGAUGACGUUAAGGACGUAAUCCAAUCAUUAAUUGAUGAUAAUUACAAUGUUUCGCGACAUGUGUGGCCGUGGAUCAAGUCCCAGGAAGCUGGAUUUGCUCAUUGUGCCUUGCGGGCUAGGGAUUCGUGUGAAUGGGUUGGAUUCAUCGACGUUGACGAAUUCUUUCACUUGCCAUCGGGCUUGUCACUCCAUGAUGUUCUCAAGAACCAGUCCAAGUCAAAAGAGAUCGUAGAGCUACGGGCCUCGUGUCACAACUUUGGCCCGUCGGGCCUUCGCAAGGUCCCUGUGGAAGGGGUAACUGUUGGGUACACUUGUCGAAUGAAGUCUCCGGAGAGGCACAAGAGCAUAGUGAAACCUGAAGCACUGAAUGAUACAUUGAUCAAUAUGGUGCACCAUUUUCACUUGAAGGCUGGUUUGAGGCCAGCCAAUUUGGGCAAGAACAUGCUAGUCAUCAACCACUAUAAGUACCAAGUGUGGGAAGUGUUCAAGCAGAAAUUCGACAUGAGGGUGGCUACAUAUGUCUCUGAUUGGAAACAAAAGCGAAAUGGACGGUCCAAAGAUCGAACACCUGGUUUAGGGACCAGUACUGUUGAACCACCAGAUUGGACGAGCAGGUUUUGUCAGGUCAAGGACACUGGCUUGCGGGAUCGUAUAAUCGAUACGUUUGCUGAAACAAGGACCGGCAUGUUGCCGUGGCAAAAGAAUAUUAGCUGAGCCGGAAAAAUCAAUAACAGUUGCAGGUGGAGCUGGAGGAAGUGAACUGUGCAUGAGGAACGGAAUCCAAUCAGUAAAACCAAGAAGGAGUUUGGACAGCCGUAUACAAGAAAGGGAAACUGGGAGAAGAAGGCAAAAGGAAUAUUGUUUGCCCAUUGUUUAUUUUGUCAAUUAGUCACACUGCAAAUAUUGCCAUCAUCUGGUUUUUGCGUAUGAUUUGUCCGUCAAGCUGCUUUUUGAGCCACCGGCUUUAUA